AGAGUUCAUGCCCGANAGGGUAGACCUCCCACCCUUGUGUAUUAUUACUUUNUUGCUUUGGCGAGCUGCCUUCGGGCCUUGUAUGCUCGCCAGAGAAUACCAAAACUCUUUUUAUUAAUGUCGUCUGAGUACUAUAUAAUAGUUAA
rnacentral:rRNA from 1 species